UGAGGAGUGAGUGCUCUGAGCAGGAGGUGGCUCAGGCCACAGCUUUAACAUCAUCCCUAACAUCUCUGGCUCAGAAAGUGCCAAGAUCACAGUCAGAAGGGAGUCACCCAUGAAGAUUUGCUCAUGCAGCUAAGCUAACUUCCACGGAUAAAGUUCAAAAAGAAAAGGGCUCUGUGGUAGGUGGCUGAGUACAGCAGAAUCUCCAUCUCUGGGGAACUUUAGGUACAAGGGAAUGAAUACUGUGUACCCAGACAACAAUAAACCUUCAGCUGCAGACCACUGA
rnacentral:lncRNA from 1 species